rnacentral:rRNA from 1 species
UGGGGAAUAUUGCACAAUGGAGGGAACUCUGAUGCAGCGACGCCGCGUGAACGAAGAAGGCUUUCGAGUCGUAAAGUUCUUUUAUAUGGGAAGAUAAUGACGGUACCAUAAGAAAAAGCCCCGGCUAACUACGUGCCAGCAGCCGCGGUAAUACGUAGGGGGCUAGCGUUGUCCGGAAUCACUGGGCGUAAAGGGUUCGCAGGCGGAAAUGCAAGUCAGGUGUAAAAGGCAGUAGCUUAACUACUGUAAGCAUUCGAAACUGCAUAUCUUGAGAAGAGUAGAGGUAAGUGGAAUUUUUAGUGUAGCGGUGAAAUGCGUAGAUAUUAAAAAGAAUACCGGUGGCGAAGGCGGCUUACUGGGCUCAUUCUGACGCUGAGGAACGAAAGCGUGGGUAGCAAACAGG